rnacentral:rRNA from 1 species
GACGAACGCUGGCGGCGUGCUUAACACAUGCAAGUCGAGCGGUAAGGCCCUUUCGGGGGUACGACGAGCGGCGAACGGGUGAGUAUCACGUGGGUGACCUGCCUCUAGCUCUGGGAUAAGCCUGGGAAGCUGGGUCUAAUACCGGAUAUGACCUCGCGGUGCAUGUUGCGGGGUGGAAAGCCUUGUGCGGCUAGGGAUGGGCCCGCGGCCUAUCAGCUUGUUGGUGGGGUGAUGGCCUACCAAGGCGACGACGGGUAGCCGGCCUGAGAGGGCGACCGGCCACACUGGGACUGAGACACGGCCCAGACUCCUACGGGAGGCAGCAGUGGGGAAGUCUUGCGCAAUGGGCGAAAGCCUGACGCAGCGACGCCGCGUGAGGGAUGACGGCCU